rnacentral:rRNA from 1 species
ACCGGAUGCCGAUCUCGAAAACCUGUCCCAGUUCGGACUGGAGUCUGCAACCCGACUCCACGAAGUUGGAUUCGCUAGUAAUCGCGCAUCAGCCAUGGCGCGGUGAAUACGUUCCCGGGCCUUGUACACACCGCCCGUCAAGCCAUGGGAGCCGGGGGCGCCUGAAGUCCGGGACCGCGAGGACCGGCCUAAGGCGAAACUGGUGACUGGGGCUAAGUCGUAACAAGGUAUC